AGCAGCCGCGGUAAUUCCAGCUCCAAUAGCGUAUAUUAAAGUUGUUGCAGUUAAAAAGCUCGUAGUUGAAUUUCGAGAUCAAAUUGUUGGUCGUGCCUCGGUACGUACUGGCAUUAUUGAUUUCUCCCUUCUGAAGAACCACGAUGUCAUUAAUUUGGUGUCGUGGGAAAUCAGGACUGUUACUUUGAAAAAUUAGAGUGUUUAAAGCAGGCUCGCGCUUGAAUACAUUAGCAUGGAAUAAUGAAAUAGGACGUUUGAUUCUAUUUUGUUGGUUUCUAGGAUCGACGUAAUGAUUAAUAGGGAUAGUUGGGGGCAUUAGUAUUCAAUUGUCAGAGGUGAAAUUCUUGGAUUUAUUGAAGACUAACUACUGCGAAAGCAUUUGCCAAGGAUGUUUUCAUUAAUCAAGAACGAAAGUUAGGGGAUCGAAGACG
rnacentral:rRNA from 1 species